AUCCAGCUGAUGAGUCCAAAAUAGGACGAAGUGGUGAAUGUCAUGGAU
rnacentral:hammerhead_ribozyme from 1 species